rnacentral:tRNA from 1 species
ACCCGCGUAGGCAAAUCUGGCAAAGCCGUCGCGCUUAGGACGCGAAGUCUGGGAGUUCGAAUCUCCCCGUGGGUACCA